rnacentral:lncRNA from 1 species
UCACACUUUAUUUUUAUUGUGUUUAUUUUUCGAUACUCCGUAAGUGAAUGCUUAUUAUCUAUGGCUAAAUGGCUUCUACAAUUUCCCCCAGCCAAUUUUUAUGUUCUAAUGACCAUUGUGGUGAUUAAUUAUCCAUGGGGCCAAUCCCAAUCAUUAAUCUAAUUGUUAAGAGUGCGUAGCAUGUAAAAAAACUGUAUAUCAGUGUUAGGAUGGUUUUGUAACUAUGCUCUAAACUUAAAUGUUUUAAUUAUAUUUAUUUAUUUGUAUAUAUAUGAGUUUUUCUAGCCUACUACUUGAAGGUAGUAGGUUAGCACCCUCUCCACUUUUUUCGUUUACUUAGUGCCCUUCAUUAUCAACACAUCAUUGAAACGGGUAUUUGUGUUUCCUCACUCACUUACUUCCCUGCCUAACCUCUCCUUGAUCCCCUUCCUUUUGUAAAGUACCAUAUCCAUUUUUGAUCUACCCAAAGUACUCAUGCCACUUCUUGAAGUCCCUUGAUGUGUCAGAGGUAAUUGUGUUAUUUUAAUACAAACAGGAAAAACGAAGUUGUGAUUUCAUCAUUAUUCAAAAUCCCUUUAUCCCAUCACAGUAGUAACACAGCUUCUGCAGGGAAGCACUUUUAUUUUCCAUGUUGAACUUGCAAAUAUUCCUGUUUGGGUAAUUUCAUGACAAAGAGAAUGUGAACAAUUCUUUUUUAAACAAAAGGUUAACUGAAGCAAUAGAAAUCAGUUAGCUUUUCUAAUCCAAUUAAAAAUUUUGUACUUUUGCUUCCCAUCACUCCUAAAACUUUUUCUUACAACAUUCAACCGUAGUCUCUGCUAUGUUCGACGGGAAAUUCACCUUCCCAAAUUCCAUUCCUUUGACAUACCCUCAACUUCAUCUUCAUCUGCACAAGAACAAUGUUGCACAUUUAUCUCAUCAACUUUAACAAUGGCUCCAACAUUUUUCCAAUAAUCUAUACUCCAUAUCAUUCUAGUUCUUCAUUCUUCUUUCUUAUCUUGUAC